GGCUGCGUGGCGCAAUGGACAACGCGUCGGUCUACGGAACCGAAGAUUGCAAGUUCGAGUCCCUCCGUGGUCC
rnacentral:tRNA from 1 species